rnacentral:rRNA from 1 species
GACCUUGAAAUACCACCCUUUAAUGUUUGAUGUUCUAACGUUGACCCGUAAUCCGGGUUGCGGACAGUGUCUGGUGGGUAGUUUGACUGGGGCGGUCUCCUCCUAAAGAGUAACGGAGGAGCACGAAGGUUGGCUAAUCCUGGUCGGACAUCAGGAGGUUAGUGCAAUGGCAUAAGCCAGCUUGACUGCGAGCGUGACGGCGCGAGCAGGUGCGAAAGCAGGUCAUAGUGAUCCGGUGGUUCUGAAUGGAAGGGCCAUCGCUCAACGGAUAAAAGGUACUCCGGGGAUAACAGGCUGAUACCGCCCAAGAGUUCAUAUCGACGGCGGUGUUUGGCACCUCGAUGUCGGCUCAUCACAUCCUGGGGCUGAAGUAGGUCCCAAGGGUAUGGCUGUUCGCCAUUUAAAGUGGUACGCGAGCUGGGUUUAGAACGUCGUGAGACAGUUCGGUCCCUAUCUGCCGUGGGCGCUGGAGAACUGAGGGGGGCUGCUCCUAGUACGAGAGGACCGGAGUGGACGCAUCACUGGUGUUCGGGUUGUCAUGCCAAUGGCACUGCCCGGUAGCUAAAUGCGGAAGAGAUAAGUGCUGAAAGCAUCUAAGCACGAAACUUGCCCCGAGAUGAGUUCUCCCUGACUCCUUGAGAGUCCUGAAGGA